rnacentral:rRNA from 1 species
AUCAAUAAGCGGAGGAAAAGAAACCAACAGGGAUUGCCUCAGUAACGGCGAGUGAAGCGGCAAAAGCUCAAAUUUGAAAUCUAGCACUUUCAGUGUUCGAGUUGUAAUUUGAAGAAGGUAACUUUGGUUUUGGCUCUUGUCUAUGUUCCUUGGAACAGGACGUCACAGAGGGUGAGAAUCCCGUGCGAUGAGAUGCCCAAUUCCAUGUAAAGUGCUUUCGAAGAGUCGAGUUGUUUGGGAAUGCAGCUCUAAGUGGGUGGUAAAUUCCAUCUAAAGCUAAAUAUUGGCGAGAGACCGAUAGCGAACAAGUACAGUGAUGGAAAGAUGAAAAGAACUUUGAAAAGAGAGUGAAAAAGUACGUGAAAUUGUUGAAAGGGAAGGGCUUGAGAUCAGACUUGGUAUUUUGCGUUCCCUUCCUUUUUGGUUGGGUUCCUCGCAGUUUACUGGGCCAGCAUCGGUUUGGAUGGUAGGAUAAUGACAUUGGAAUGUAGCUUUACUUCGGUGAAGUGUUAUAGACUUUGUUGAUACUGCCUAUCUAGACCGAGGACUGCGUCUUUGACUAGGAUGCUGGCGUAAUGAUCUUAAGCCGCCCGUCUUGAAACACGG